AUAGAACGCUGGCGGCAGGCCUAACACAUGCAAGUCGAGCGCGAAAGUCUUCGGAUGAGUAGAGCGGCGGACGGGUGAGUAACGCGUAGGAAUCUACCUGGUAGUGGGGGAUAACUCGGGGAAACUCGAGCUAAUACCGCAUACGUCCUGAGGGGGAAAGUGGGGGCUCGCAAGAACCUCACGCUAUCAGAAGAGCCUGCGUUGGAUUAGCUAGUUGGUAGGGUAAAGGCCUACCAAGGCGACGAUCCAUAGCUGGUCUGAGAGGAUGAUCAGCCACACUGGGACUGAGACACGGCCCAGACUCCUACGGGAGGCAGCAGUGGGGAAUAUUGGACAAUGGGGGCAACCCUGAUCCAGCCAUGCCGCGUGUGUGAAGAAGGCCUUCGGGUUGUAAAGCACUUUAAGCAGGGAGGAAGGCUCGUGCGCUAAUACCGUACGGGAUUGACGUUACCUGCAGAAUAAGCACCGGCUAACUCCGUG
rnacentral:rRNA from 1 species